UCCGAUAUGGUGUAACGGCUAACAUUACCGCCUUUCAAAGAUGAGGAACCUAACCCGUUGUCGCGGUAGCUCGGGGUUCGAUUCCCCGUAUCGGAA